rnacentral:lncRNA from 1 species
ACUAUCCUCUUCUUAUUCUUUCAUCAAAUCAAGUAAUCAUCAAAUAAAUAAAAAAAUCAAAAUAAGACAAAGUUGAGGAUAGUAGACUUGAGCCCUUGAUUAAUCAGAUUCAAUGCUUAGGAUUAAAACAAAGACAUACACAUUGCCAAUCCCCCGCUUGACAAUGUCUAUUUGUUUGUUUUAAUUUUGGCCAUUGAAUUUAAGUAAUCAAGGGGUCUUG